rnacentral:rRNA from 1 species
AUUGAACGCUGGCGGCAGGCCUAACACAUGCAAGUCGAGCGAGCGGCGGACGGGUGAGUAAUGUAUGGGGACUGCCUGAUAGUGGGGGAUAACUACUGGAAACGGUGGCUAAUAUAGCAUACUAUCGGAUAAUCCUCAGGGGAUUAGCUAGUAGGGGGGGUAAAGGCUCACCUAGGCGACGAUCCCUAGCUGGUCUGAGAGGAUGAUCAUCCACACUGGUACUGAGACCCGUCCCGGACUCCUACGGAGACAGCAGUGGGGACUAUUGCACAAUGGGCGCAAGCCUGAUGCAGCCAUCCCGCGUGUAUGAAGAUGGCCUUAGGGUUUUAAAGUACGUUCAGCGCGGAGGCGUUACCCGCAGAAGAAGCACCGGAUAACUCCGUGCCAGGAGCCGCGGUAAUUC